UAUUUGCUGUUAUAUGUGGAUGACAUGCUUAUUGCUACUAAAAGCAUGUCACAAAUUAAUAUUCUGAAAAAACAAUUGAGUGAUGAGUUUGAGAUAAAAGAUUUGAGUGCUGCAAAGAGAUAUUGAGAAUGAAAAUUACCAGCAAUAGAAGUGUUAAGAAGCUUUUCUUAUCACAACAGGCCUAUGUUGAGAAAGUGGUUAAGCGUUUCAACAUGAAUAAUG
rnacentral:misc_RNA from 1 species